UACGUAGGGGGCUAGCGUUGUCCGGAAUCAUUGGGCGUAAAGAGCGUGUAGGCGGUCCGGUAAGUCCGCUGUGAAAGUCGGGGGCUCAACCCUCGAAUGCCGGUGGAUACUGUCGGGCUAGAGUGCGGAAGAGGCGAGUGGAAUUCCUGGUGUAGCGGUGAAAUGCGCAGAUAUCAGGAGGAACACCUAUUGCGAAGGCAGCUCGCUGGGACGUUACUGACGCUGAGACGCGAAAGCUAGGGGAGCAAACGGG
rnacentral:rRNA from 1 species